rnacentral:lncRNA from 1 species
UCCUGCACUCCUCUAGGAUCUCCCCAGUACUAGCCCGACCUUGAGCAGCUCUCCUCGACCCCCAUCGCCGCUAUGGCCGCCGCAGCCAUCCUCUAAAAUUCGGCCAAGUCGAGCUCCCUCUCCUCCUUCUACCACCACCAGCGCUCCACCCAGUCCUCGAAGAUCCUCCCCAUCUACUCCGUCCGUCGUCGGACUCACCGUAGCCCCAAUCCCAUCCACGCCCGAAGCUCUCCUCCCCCAGCGUCGAAACCUCCAUCAACUCGGUCCACUACGGCGACCAUGGAUGGGACCAGUCGAUGCGUCGCUCGACGCUGAGUAGUUCUGUAGGCGGAGCAUCGCCGAAGGUGCCCUGUAGCAUCGGCAGGCCUUGUCGGGGCAGGCUCGGCUCCGGCCAGGCGUGGGCGAGAGGAAGGAGAAGGCGCCGCCAUCGCCAGCUGGCCGUGGGCCCCUCGACCCCACCCGUCAAUCCCUCUGGCCGUUGACUCCGCGUCGUUGACGUGGAUAAGUGAAAACGCCCUUUUCUGGUUUACGUCUUCUGUAGACGAAAGCGUAUUCCUCUGCGGCUUAUAACUAGAGUAUGUUUUCUCUGCAGGAAAGCGUAUUUCGUAGAAGGUGCUUUCUCUUUUUCCAUCCGACGGCCGAAGCCUCUAUUUUGUGAACGUUCGUCUGUUUAGGGCAGAAAUGAAUAAGUUUUUAUUUGUUUUCUAUCUAACGAACGAACGGCCUUAUCUUUUUAUCCGUAACUCCGAUCGAGGUGAACCCAACGCCCACAUCUUUGUCUCGUCGAGCCCGUUCUGUUCCCCCCAUUUUCACUAUGUUUCGACAUUCUGAAAAUGACCAUUUUGCCCUUGCCCCAAUCAGCCCCCUUCAAGAGAGUACCCUUUCCGGCGAUUCCUUCCGCGGUGAUUCCGCACUUCUUCCCGGAGCCUUCUUCAUCCCCAGGCAAGCCACAACCACCAUUUGCAUGAUAGCCAUGCAGAAGCAUUGGUUUCCAACUUGAAUCUUUAAUAACUGUUUGAUUGUUUUGCUUCUGUUGUCGGUAUUUCAGUUAUGCUUAGGAAUCAGUGUUUACCGUCAUGCUAUGUUUUCUUGCACUCUGUUAUUAUGUUGUUCAUGCUAGUAUUACUUUAAUAUUGGCCAUGCUUGGUAAUAGUACAUGUUGGUGAUGGUCUUCGGUGCAUGACUGUCGUCUGUUCCGAGUACUGCCGUUAUGCAUGUUUCUUCGCAUCCAGUUGAUUAAAUGCUUGCAUGGUAGUUUUAUCGUGAUGUUAUUGCAUGGUAGGUAUUUUGAUGCUAGUGUCAUGUCAUGCUAUGAGCAGUGUGCUAGUUGUGAUAAUUAUGCUCUUCAGUAUGCCAUGCUCAUCUGGAUAAAUGGUGAAAUGUUGUUGUUAUGCUCGCUGAUUAUGAUGCAUCACCAUGCUUAUGUUGAUAUCAUGUUCAUGCAUUAUAUUUGCAUCAUGUUAUUUUAUCAUGGCUCAGCAUAUUGCAUUCAAGUUUAACUGGAUUAAAUUGACCUUGAACAACUGUUGGCUGAGUCAUGGUGCCACCAUAUCGAUCUGACCAGUGCAACCACAUUUACCUUAUGGGAAGGCCCUAACUGGGUCUAUUGUCAUGCCUCUCACCGGUGCCUCCCGCGAGGGAAGGUUAUGCGCGGGCGCUACCCUAAUCAAGCAGGACGGCAUAAGCCUUGUGUGCCCGUUGUUGAGUAUGGAUCCUUGUCCCCGUUUGGGACCGUUUUGCCACGACGGUGGCCGUUGGUGCCUUUGGUAGGCACGGGGCCACCCAGGACUUAGCCCAAAGGGGAGUUGGUCGGAGUGGCCGGGACAGUGUCAUGGCAGUAGGACGGUUUUGUUGGAACGCUUUGGUCCACCCGAAUGGGAGUACGAGGCCAGGGUUCCGUGGUGUGGGUACAGUGUGCUAACCUCUGCAGAGUGUGUGUGUUAAAUCUAUCGAUAGCCGCGCCCGCAGAUAUGGGCCCAGUUCGUAGUUGGCCACACUAUGGGUCAAUAGUAAUAAUAAUAAUUUGCUUAAUAACAACCCCGGUUCGAUGAUGAAAGAAGUUGGUUGAUAUUUAUGUGAUCGAGAGAGGAUCACUGCAGUAUCGUGAAUACCAACUUGUUGGAUAUUUGGGAUGUUAUGCGAAAAUCAAUGGUAACGGUCAAGCUCCUUGUGAUCAUAAAUGAUUGCUACGGUAUUGUUAAUACCAAGCUUGAUUGGAUCCUUAGAUGAUCGUUUGAUAUCCGUGAUGGUAAGUGAUACAGGUGAUGGUUACGAGGUAACCGAGUAGAGUAAGUUGGUGCAUGAUAGUUUCAUCAUGUUGCAUGCUAGUCUCAUCAUGUUCAUAUGUUUAUGCCAUGCUCGUAUUGUUCUAGCUGUAUCAUGUUGUUCAUGCUAUGUUGUUCUGAUAGUAUAGUGUUCCUCAUUGCUUAAUAAUCUGUAAUUGCCAUGCUAUUGUUUGUCUUGAUUGUUUGGUUGCUGUGAGCUUGCAAGUACAUUCAAUGUACUGACCUGGCGUGUCAUGCCAGUUUGCAGGUCAUGCCAGAUUUGAUUGCUUGUUUGCGGUGGAUUCUUUGUUUGCGAGCUAGGAUAAGCGUUCCAGCCAGAGUCCCUGCGGAGUGGAGUUCACCACCGUCGUCGCUGUUCCGCUUCCAAUAGUCAUUCCGCUGCGUCGUGUUGUUCUGCUGCUUGCAUGGAGCAACCGUAGCAGGCGUAGUGUCAUUGUGCCGAUGUAACCCCCUUGUACCCAUAUAGAUUGCAAUAAAGAGCUGGUUUGUUCUAUUCUAAGAAGUGUCGUAUUCCAGAAGACUUCUCCUUGAUCUCGGGGCUGGAUACGGGGCGUUUCGGUUUCUCUUAGCCGGGGUGCGACAUGCUUGGUAUCAGAACAGGUCUGGCUGUAGGACUCCCUAGCCCGCGUGAAAGUUAGAAAAUGAUAGAAUAGACCCCGGUUGAUUUGUUGCACUUGAUUGCUGCAUCUGUUUGUUGCAUAACAUGCAUAUAGAUUAUUAUCUUGUCGCUAAAGGUUUAUCUUGUGAGUGUAGGUGGCAUCGAUUUCGAUCCACUACCUGCACCCUCUUUCUUAGCAUGCCUGCUCUCUUCGGUGUUUGGCGUCAUCUCUGUCCCAGCAGAGUGAUGCCCUGGUACCAAGUGUUCCAGACACCAUUUGCAGGAGUUAUGCUUAGGUAUUGCGUCGGUAUCUUUUCCUCCACCCAAAUCAUUUCAGUGAUAGGCUUGUCUCUAUCCCGAAUCGUGCCCUCUAUCUCGUUCCUUUGGCAACCCUUACUGAUCUUUGUUAUCAGAAAAGGGCAAUGCCAUCAAGCCUUGCUUUUCCUCCCCUAGCUUGCCUUGUCAUUUCAUUCUUUGGACGUGUACGAUUCCCAUUCGUAUGCUUGAUGAUGAGGUAGUCGUGACCUCUGUGUCUCGCUACUUGAUCACCAAGUCGGUCAUCGCCUCCGUGUCCAUCCAGAUCCAGCCGGUGUUCAGCCAGCGCUUAGUGUAGCCUUGGUUACGCCAACUCUUUCCACACACAGACUCAAUUUCAUGCACACCGCCACAGCAUAUUAGACCGUAGUACCAGAGCUUUAGCAACAAUUGUGUGCUUAGGUGUGCAUGCAUAUUAUUGUGUGAGUACCAGUAAUAUGUGAUAAUUGCUUUAUAUUAUUAUGUGUGUGCUUGUGUGCUUUUGUUUUCGUCGUUUCUUUUGUUGCUUUCUUUGGGCCUUCGGUGUUACAAAUUUUCCCCUUAUUAAAGUUGCUCGUCAACCGACAUCGGACCCGAAGAAUCAGCAAGGAAUUCAAAUAUUUGGAAGCUUUGCUAAACAGAAUGGAAUUAUCAGCAGACUGCAGUGAAAUUAGAAUAUCUUGACUGAAUGCGAAAGAAAUCCUGGAUGGACUGUCAGUGUUAAGUUUGCAUCAGUAUGGAAUUUUUAGCCGACUACAUUGGGAUCUGGGGAUAUCUGAUCAUGAUACGGAUAAUCAAGUUUGCCUCAGUGUGCACAUUUCAUAGCAGAAAUGAUCAGAUCAGCAAAAAGAUAAGCUAUGUGCAAGACCAAUAGUGCAAUUUCAGUCAAAAGUAUGGUUCAGAUACAAGGUUUGGUUCUUCGUGGAGGAUGAGUUUGAAACAUGAUAUGCCUAGAAGAAAGCAAGGAUGUGCCACAUACUCAGAAAGGAGGAUGGCCCAGCAAUUCCUGUUUCAGCAUGAAGCCCAGUCUUCCUCGGCAAGAUACUCUCCACGGUUUUCACCAUAAGCCAUCCAACCGUCCUUAGUACAGCACUGGUACAAGAUAGUACAUUGUGAAUUCAGAGCAGAUGGCAGAAUCAGAUUCACAACAGUUGGUCCAAAGCAAGAAUCAGUUAGAACACAAGUCUGCCUCGGGAAUUAGAUUCUCAGAUGUAUGUGAAGGAAGCCAGAUAUACACCUCAGUGUGACAAAGGACUAUGAGGAUUGACGACAACACUAAGCUCUGUACAAGUACUGAUGAACCUAGAAGAUGAUCCUGAUGAGCCCUUGUCUCCUUUUCUUCAGUGCCGGCGCCAUGCCUGUAUUCUGAGCUGUUUUUAGCUAUCCGGGGUGGAUGCCAAUUUUUAUUUCUCUCUCCAACGACUGUCCCGAGUUCUGAGCUGCUUUACGACCAUCUCGUACAGCUGUUGAGUUUCUUUUUGUGACAGUAGGCCUAUAGCUGCUUUUGGAUAUCUUAGGGAGUUGCCACUUUCUUCUUAUCGACUCAAUCUCAUGCACUGAGCUACUUUUCGGCCGUCCUGAGCCAUGGUUGAGUUAUCUCAGUAAUGUCCCAGAUCUGAGUCGUAAAGGCCGUUCUGGUGGCUACUGAUUUAUUAGCCGAUUUCUUGCAAGGGUUCGGAUGAUCAUUUUCCUACGGUCAGAACUUGAAAGGUGUUGAACCUACCAUUUAAUGGAUUACCAUGUCAGAAGAUGCGGAUAAGAGUACAGCUGUCAGAAUAUUACACCUGACAGAACCGAUUGUCACACAGAGAAACAAUAUGACCCAGCUCUUUCAACCAAGGAUCCAGAGAAGACAAGCAGUAAUGAAGGAGCAAGACUGAAAAUUGUUGCAAGACCCACAUGGUGCAGAUAACCGGAUAGUCUGAGUCAGUAUGGAUCACCAUGGAUAUUCACCUAAAGGAUCUGCUCGGUUUUGGAUGGUGAAUAAUAGUCAGGAAGCAUGUGCCCUCACUUAUGUGAAGCCUCAACGGAUAGCCUGUCAUGGACAAAAUUCUUUCACGAGAUUCACUGUCAGUCAAGUCUGCGGAUACUAUCAUAUAAGGCCAUACCCCUUAUGCUGGCAAUGACAAGCGACAAUCAAAUAUUUGGUAUGAAGCUGAGACUCAAGACAGUGGAGCCAGUCAACAUGAUUCAGAAAUUCCUGCGAUAAGCCAGAAUCUGUCAGGGAAGCGGUUAUGCCUCAACUCACUGUUUGGAAUCCAAAGGACCUAGAUUUAGUGGAGGAACCCAAUGCAAGGAGUCAGAGCUUGGGUGUUCAACAGGAAAAAUCUGAUCACCAAUUCAUAGACAGUUUUCAGUACAUAGACAACAAUUGGAAAUCACUCUCAGAUUUGUGAGACAGGCAUAUAUUUCAGACAUGGUAAAUCUCAGCUAAGUCAGCAGAUAUGAAGAUAAUUGGAGCAAGUAUAAACAUGCACAAGCCAGGAAGGAUCUAUCAGAAUAGGGAUACAGUGAACCAGACCACCCAGAGCCAGUCGGGUAAAAUUUAGUGGGAACAACAAUAAAGGAAAAAGGAUACUCGAGUUGGAAACAGUUUCCUUAAGGUCAGAUAUAUUCAGACUUGUUCCCUAAGAAACCAAAUCUCGAGGACGAGAUUUCUUUAAGGGGGUAAGGUUUGUUCUAGCCUGAUUUUUGUCCCUUUCCUUUUCUUUUGUUUUUCUGAGGUUUUUGCCUGAGUUUUCUUUUUCCGUGGCUUUGUGGUCUGGAAACUGAAGAAGAUGCCCUCUUCUUUUCUUCCAGAGUGGCUUGUCAUCCUCAAGUCCUUCCCUAGAUCAUAUCAUUUCCAUCCUAGCCCAAUCCAAAAAUUCUUUUGCUAGGGAAUAUUCCUUUUCUAUUAAAGGAAUAACUCAAUUUGCCCUAGGUUGUGAAGCAACCUAUAUUUCCAUCACUCCUAAAAUUCCCAAAUAUUUCUCAUAAAUUUUUUGGGUCAUAUCUUCCUCAAAUAUGGCAAAAUAUUUCAUUUGCCAUGUUUAUGAUCAUCCUCAAAUAAUUCAUUUCCUAUUCUGCCCUAAAUGGCACAUUGUGAAGCAAGUGCUAUUUUCCUUUGCCCAAUUGACCUCAAACUCCUUGGACAUCGUAUCUUGUCCAUAUCAUUGCCACAUGCCAAAAUGCAACCUCAUUUCCCUAGUAGUAAUUUAAUUAUUGUUUUCCAAAGUUUCUGUCCAGAAAGAAACUUUGUGAAGGAGGUACAAGCUAGGCAUAUCCAAAUGAGUUGCAAUUUUGCAUGGUCCUUCAUAUCAUCAAAUCAUAGCCCUGCACAAAAGUUGAGAUCAUGUAAUGACUCCAUGUGAGCACAGCUUCAAAUCUUUGAUUUUGUCCAAAAUUUCAGUUUGUGAAGGAAGUAUAUUUUAUCUUGCUCCAUUAUGGCUGCAAAUUUUUCUAGGCCUUCUCUUAUCCAUAUAACCUAUCUCCACCCAAUUUGGGCAUAUUCUAUCUAGCCAACUUCCCUCUACACUUUUUGCAAGUUUCUGGUCACUUGAAAUGUUUGCGAAGGAAGUACCAUUUUGGUUUAUCCAAAUGGUGUGAGACCUUUACAGUAUCUUCAUAUGACCAGAUUAUCCAGCCUUGACCAUUUUCAGCUCAAGUGGUUACUCCUCGUGAGUGCCACUUCAUCAUCUCUAUUCUGGACUAGUUUAUGCAUUUGCAAAGGAAGUGUAUUAAUUCUUGAUCCAAAUCACCUCAACUUUUCCAGAACCAUGGUCCUUCCUAAUCUAAACCUCCCAGACAACUCCAUUGACCCCAAUCAGCUCACUAUUGAUCAACAGUACUCAGCGAAAACUGAGCAAACUUUAGACGAUCCCUCAUUCACCUAAUUGGCUCCUUCUCGUUAUAUUUAACUUCUGGGAUGCCUUGGGGAUCAAGGACUAGCCACCAGACAAGUUUUGCCAGCUCAUCGUGACCUCCCUCUGCCAUGCCGCGUGGUGACCCGUGUGGAUUUUUCCCCAUGCACGCGCUCUGGCUGCAGAACUCGCGCUCUAGCGCCUCUGUCUUCUUCCCCUCGUUGUGCAGUUGUCCCCUCGUCGCCUACCCUUGUCUAGCAGGUUCCCCAAGCCGUCGCCGUCCCUCUGGAGCGUUUGGCCCCUCCAUCUUCUUCCCCGGUGAGCCGUCCCCGUCACUGAACAGUGAGUGUCAACGAGCGCACAGUGCCGACAAGGCAUUAAUGGCGCAUUGGCUGCUUCUUCCUCGUGCCCCUCGACCUCAUCUACCGUGUGAGCUUCUCCCUGUUGCUCCUCGUUGCCAUCCGUCAAGCUCGCUGGCGUGCACACGCGUACGCCGACGUGCCUGAGCCGUGGACACGCGUCCAUGGCCACGGCCUCGACGCCGUGGCUAUUUAAGCCCUCCCCCGAGCCAUUCUAGCACAUCAGUUAGUCUCCCACACUCCUCUCGGCUCUCCUCACCACUAGCCCGAUCUCGAGCAGCUCUCCUCAACCCACAUCGCCGAUAUGGCCGCCGCGUCCAUCCUCUCAAAUUUGGCCAAGUCGAGAUCCCUCUCCUCCUUCUACCACCACCAGCGCUCCCCCCAUUCCUCGAAGAUCCUCCCCAUCUACUCCGUCCGUCGCUGGACUCACCGUAGCCCCCACCCCAUCCACGCCUGAAGCUCUCGUCCGCCAGCGUCGAAACCUCCGUCAACUCGGUCCACUACGGCGACCAUGGAUGGGACCAGUCGAUGC